GUCCUCAGGGCUGCCUUGUCCAUCUGCCAAGGAGCUGCACCGUCUCCUCCCACCUCUGCAACAGCAGCACCUUCACCGACCUGCUCUUAUUCAUCUUGUCACCAUCGUCCAUCUUCCUCCUGCCUCUGUGUGGCCACCUGAGCCCAGGCAAUGCUUCCGUAUCUUCUGAAGUUGGAGAUAUGCGUGGACAGCAAUUCUACGAACAGACAUGCACCCUGAGUAGUGUCCUGUGAUUGUGGGUCACACCUGUGCAAGGUGAUGUCACACAGCCGCGGAUGCGGGUGAGGCAGGCUGACACGGACGCCCCUUGCGGGUAGGCUCCUCCAUGCAGGAGUGGAUUCCAACUCAAGAGACCACUUUCUCUGCUCAUCCAUAAAAAACAACUUCUCAUUCAUUCAAGGAUUAUCCUGAGACUGCAGCAAUUCAGUCCCUCUUCAGGCUCCACUUCCAAUUCUAGUUCUCUUGCUGUUUCCACCAUGUCUGCAGUGACGUCCUCCACGGAAGUCUUGAACCCCUCAAAGCUAUCCCUGAGGGUUGGAAUCAACUUCUUCCAAACUAAUGUUCAUGUUGAUAUUUUGACUUCUGCCCCCGAAUCACAAAUGUUCUUAAUGGCAUCUAGAAUGGUGAACCCUACGCAGAAGUUUUUCAAUGGACUUUGCCCAGAUCCAUCAGAGGAAUCACUUUCUAUGGCACCUAUAACUUUACAACAUGUAUUUCUUAAAUAAUAGGGCUUGAAAGUCAAAAUUACUCCUUCAUCUAUGGGCUGCAGAAUGGAUGUUGUGUCAACAGGCAUGAAAACAUUCAUCUCCUUGUACGUCUCCAUCAGAGCUCCUGGGUGGCCAGGCGCAUUGUCCAUGAGCAGUACAGUUUUUAGUUUUGGGGUGUUUUUUUUUGAGACAGAGUCUCAGUCUGCUGCCCAGGCUGGAGUGCAGUGGUGCAAUCUCAGCUCACUGCAACCUCCACCUCCUAGGUUCAAGCGAUUCUCCUGCCUCAUCUUCCUGAGUAGCUGGGACUACAGAUGCGUGCCAGGCUGGUCUCAAACUCCUGACCUCAGGUGAUCCACUUGCCUCGGCCUCCCAAAGUGUUGAGAUUACAGGCUUGAGCCACCGUGCCCGGCUUGAGCAGUACAGUUUUAAAGAAACCUUUUUCUGAGCAGUAGAUCUCAACUGUGGGUUUAAAAUAUUCCAUAAAUCAUGCUGUAAACAGACAUGCUGCCAUUCUGGCUUUGUUCUUCCAUCCAUAGAGCACAGGAAGAGCAGCUACUGCAUAAUUCUUAGGACCUAGGAUUUUCAGAAUGGUAGGUGAACAUCGGCUUCACCUUAAAAUCACCAGCUGCAUUAGCCCCUAACAAGAGAGCCAGCCUGUCCUUUGAAGCUUUGAGGCGAGGCAUGACUUUUUCUCUCUUGCUGUGAAAGUCUCAGGCGGCCUCUUCUUCCAGUAGGAGGCUGUUACACCUGCAAUAAAAAUCUUUUGUUCAGUGGAGUCACCUUCAUCAAGGAUCUUGGCUGGAUCUUCUGGGGAACUUGCUGCAGCUUCUCCAUCAGCACCUGCUGCUUCACCUUGCACUUAUGCUCUGGAGAUGGAUUCUUUCCUUAAACCUCACAAACAAACCUCUGGUCACUUCCAACUUUUCUUCGACAGCUUUCUCCCUCUCUCAGCCUUCAUGGAAUUGAAGAGAAUCAGAGUCUUGCUCUGGAUUAGGCUUUGGCUUCAGGGAAUGUUGUGGUUGGUUUGAUCUUCUCUCCAGACCACUCAAACAAUAACGCUGUUUUGCUUUCUUAUCAUUCGUGAGUUCAGGGAGGCGUAUUUCAAGAAGUUUCCCUUCACAUUCACAAUGUGGAUAACCGUUUGGCAUAAGAGUUUUUGGUCUACCCUGGCUUUCAACGUUCCUUCCUCACUCAGCUUAAUCAUUUCUAGCUUUUGAUUUAAAGUGAGAGAUGUGUGACUCUUCCUUUCACUUGAACACUUAGAGGCCAUGGUGGGGUUAUUCAUGGGCCUCACACCAAUACUGCUGCAUCUCAGGGAAGAGAAGAGGACAGGGAGAGAGGUGUGGGAAUGGCUGGUCUGUGGAGCAGUCAAAACACACACAUUUAUCAAUUAAGUUCACCGUCUUAUGUGGUCAUAGUACAUGGUGUCCCAAAACAGUUACACUAAUAAUAUCCAAGAUCACUGACUGCGAUAAAAAAUGUAAUAAUAAGACCAGAUGUGGUGGUUCAUGCCUGUAAUCCCAGCACUUUGGGAGGCUAAGACAGGAGGAUCACUUGAGCCCAAGAGUUUGAGACCAAUUUAGGCAAUAGAGAUCUCAUUUCUACAAAUUUUUUAAAAAAUUAACUGGGUGUGAUGGUGGCCCCUGUAAUCUUAGCUCCUUGGGAGGCUGAGGUGGGAGGAUCGCUUGGGUCUGGGAGACUGAGGCUGCAGCGAGCGUGAUUGCACCCACUACACUCCAGCCUGAGGAACAGAGUGAGACCCUGUGUUGGGAUAAUCACCAGAAUGGGACAGAGAUGCAAAGUGAGUACGUGCUGGUGGAAAACUGGCACCAAUAGGCUUGCUCGACACAGGGUUCCCACCAACCUUCAAUUUGUCAAAUAGGCAACAACUGCAAAGCACAGUAGAGUGGAGCUCAAUAGGACACGGCACAGCUCAGGGGCCCUGGGUGUGCUCUGCCAUGCUCAGGCUGGGGAGCCAGGGGAGGACUCUGUGUGAUGGGCAUUGGCACUGGGAGACACGCGGAGGAGACAGGACGUGACCUCACCCUGGCAAGAAGGUUGGACAAGGCACAGGCCGGCCUCCCAGUGAAAAUAACAGACAGAAGCCAGGAGGAAGAACCACUCAGGAUUGGGAAGAGCCGUUAAAUAAGUUACACACAAAGAAGAUAAGAACAGGACUCUAUCUUAAUGCUAGAAGAAGAAUAUGAAGAAGAGGGAGGAGGAAGAGAAGAAGAAGAAGAAAAAGAAGGAGGCUGGGAUUACAUGCCUGUAAUCCCAGCACGUUGGGAGGCUGAGGUGGGCAGACCACCUGAGGUCAAGAGUUCGAGACCAGCCCGCCCUGCCAAUAUGGCAAAACUCCAUCUCUACUAGAAAUACAAAAAUUAGCUGGGCAUGGUUGUGGGCACCUGUAAUCCCAGCUACUUGGGAGGCUGAGGCAGGAGAAUCACUUGAACUCGGGAGGCUGAGAUUGCAGUGAGCUGAGAUCGUGCCACUGCACUCCAGCCUGGGCGACAGAGUGAGACUCAGUCAAAAAAAAAAAAAAAAAAAAAAAAGAAGAAGAAGAAGGAGAAGAAAAGGAAGGAGAAAAAGUAGCUCUGAUAAGCCAUGGAGAGCCACUAAAGGUGUCUGGAGAAGGAUUUCUGCUUUCAUAAAAAAUGGAGUAAAAGAGCCCAGAUAUACUCUCCACAGGAAACAAACCCAAAUGGGUAAAAUAUAUAAAACCCAACCCAAAAUGGGCAAACUAUAUGAAACAAUGUGUUAUUCUGAGACUGUUAUUAAGAUAACAAAAGACAGUGAUUCCUGAGCAGGGGAAAGCAGGGUAGGUGAACCCAGGGACUGUCCUGAUUAUUACCUAGAGGCAGUACACAGACAGGGCCAGUGGACAUCCGGAGUGGAGGAGACAUUACUGAGAGUUUAGGGAGAUCAAAGCAGACAGCGUUCAAAGCUUGGGGUGCGAUGGAGGGGAGGCCUUCCGAGAGAAAGAAUGACACGGGUCUGCAGAGGGUCUCCCUCAAAUAUUCCUGAGUGUUUAUCAGCAUAGGCACGUGAGGAAAGUGCCUGAAGCCAGGAAGAAAACUGCUGGGCAGGACACGUCUGUGCUCACACCGAGCUAUGAAUGAUGCCUGCUCCCCACAGACAGACCAACCAACCAACAAAACUAGGACUUGUGGGCAUCCAGCAGGGUGCACAGAAGGGCCCGCCCCUGUCAUGGAAAUAGACUGAGCAUUGCUUCGGUUCUGCUGAACAAAUCCUAAAAGCAAGCUCCAAGAAGAUGAACCUGUUUCUGUGUAACUUAACUACAUCCCAAAACAAAGCUCAAAUAUAUACAUACAUAUAUGGGUGUGUGUGUAUAUAUCUAUAUAUACAGAGUCUCACUCUGUUGCCCAGGCUGGAGUGCAAAGGCACAAUCUUGGCUCACUGCAACCUCCACCUCCUGGGUUCAAGUGAUUCUCAUGCCUCAGCCUCCUAAAUAGCUGGGAUUACAGGCGCCCACCACACCUGGCUAAUUUUUUUUUUUGUAUUUUUAGUAGAGAUGGGGUUUGGCUAUGGUGGCCAGACUGGUCUUGAACUCCUGACCUCAGGUGAUCCAUCCACCUCAGCCUCCCAAAGUGCUGGGAUUACAGGCAUGAGCCACUGUGCUCGGCCCAAAGCUCAAUAUAUUUAGGAGCAUGAAAAUAUCCAUCACCCAACAAGGUACAAUUUACAAUAUCUGGCAUCCAGUAAAAAAUUACCAGGCAUGCAGGAAAACAGGAUCCAUAAUGAGGAGAAAAAUCAAUCAACUGAAAUUAUCCUGAAAAGGCACAAUUUUGGACUCCCAGUAAAGGAUAUUAAAAGGCCAUUUUGUAAUGAGAAAAGGGUUAUUGCAUCAAGAGGACAUAACACUUUUAAACAUUUAUGCACGUAACAACAGAACUGAGCUUCAAAAUUCAUGAAGCAAAGACUGAUAGAACUGCUGGGAGGAACAGAAAAAUCCGCAGUUGUAAUUAGAGAUUUAAAUAUGCCUGUUUCAAUAAUAUAUAGAAAAAGUCGACAGAAAAUCAGUAAAGAUACAGAAAAUUUAAGCAACACUAUCAACCAACUUGACCUAAUGGAAAUUUAUGGAAUGCUCCACCAAAUAACAGCAGAAUACACAUGACUUUUAAGUCCACAUGGAAUAUUAACCAAGGAAGACCAUAUUUUUGGUUAUAAAACAAGUCUCAAUAAGUUUAAAAGGAUUUCAAGUCUUAUAAAGUAUGUGUUCUUACCACAAUGGAGUUAAAUUAGAAAUUAAUAACAGAAUGAUCUUUAGACAAUCUCCCAAUGUUUGGAAACUAAGUAACAUUUCUAAAUGACCCAUGGAUCAAAGAAUAAAUCAAAAGAUAUCUUAAGAAGUAUUUUGGACUGAAUAUGAAAUACAAAAAAAAAGAACUAAAAUACAAACAUUAAAAUAUAUCAUCAUGUAUGAGAUGUUAUCAAAAGGGUAAUUAGGGGAGAAUUUAUAUCUCUAAAGGCCAAUAUUAGAAAAAAAAAUCUCAAAUCAACGAUCUUCAUUUCCACCUUCCAAAAUUAGAAAAAGUAAAGAGGGGAAAAAAAACAAUAAAGAUCAGAGUGGAAAUCACUGAAAUAGAUGAAAACAGAAAAACAGUUGAGAAAAUAACUGAAACAAAAAGUUCAUUCUUUGUGAAGGCAAAUGCAAUUGAUAAGCCUCUAGCCACACAGCUCAGGAAAAAAAGAGAAAAGAUAUAAAUUACUGCUAUGAGAGUUGGAAGAGGAAUCAUUGCAGGUGCUCCAAAUAUGAAAGGGAUAAUGAGGCAAUAUCAUGAACAACUUUAUGGCAAUAAAUUCAACAACUCAGAGGAAAUUGAAAAAUUCUUCACAAACACAACAUACCAAAACUCACUCGAGAAGACAUAGGUAAUAUGAAUAUCCCUAUAGCUAGUAAAGACAUUUCAGAUAAGGAAAACAAAAACAAAAACAAAAACCAAACUUUAAACUUUCCCACAAAGAAAACCCAAGGCCCAAAUGGCUUUGCUGGUGAAUUCUCCAAUCCUUCCAAACAUUUAAAAAAGAAGUAAGGCCAGGCGUGGUGGCUCACACCUGUAAUCCCAGCACUUUGGGAGGCCAAGGUGGGCGGGUCACGAGGUUAGGAGAUCGAGACCAUCCUGGCUAACACGGUGAAACCCCGUCUCUACUAAAAAUACAAAAACAUUAGCCGGGCGUGGUGGCGGGUGCCUGUAGUCCCAGCUACUCUACUCAGGAGGCUGAGGCAGGAGAAUGGUAUGAACCCAGGAGGCGGAGGUUGCAGUGAGCUGAGAUGGCAUCUCAAAAUCAAUCAAUAUAAUUCACCACAUUGCCAAACCAAAAAAUUAAAACCGUAGGAUCAUCUCAACAGAUGCAGAGAGAUACUCGAUGAAACCCAAGACCAUUUUCUGAUACGAAGCCUCAGUGAGGCAGCUGCCGAGAGGAACACGCUCAACCCGAUGGGCCUGCCUUGAAAUGCCGACAUCUAACACCAAGGCGCAAGGUGAAGGAGUGAGUCCCUUUCCCCCAAGAUGAGGAAAAACAGAGGGUUUCUGUUCUCACCACUUUGACUGAACUUUGUAUUAAAGAUUUCAGCCAGCGUAAUAAUAAAAGAAAAAGAAACAAAAGGCAUGUGAUUUGUUAAAAGGAAGCAAACUGUCUUCAUUCACAGACAACAUGAUCAUCUAAGUAGAAAAUCUGACAGAAUGUACAAAAAAGCUUCUAGAACGAAUGAGUAAAGUGAUAAGUGAGUUUCAAAGGGUGGCAGGAUAUAAGAUUGAUAAAUGUACAUCGACUGGACAACUGGCCAUUACUUACAAGUUAAAUGCAUACCUACUCUAGGGUCCAGAUACUCGGUUCCUAGGGAAUUACUUACAAGAAACGACAUCAGCCGGAAACGGUGGCUUAUGCCUGUAGUCCAGCACUUUGGGAGGCUGGGGUGGGUGGAUCACUUGAGGUCAUGAGUUCGAGACCAGCCUGGUCAACAUAGUGAAAUCCUGUCUCUACUAAAAAUACAAAAAUCAGCCAGGCAUGGUGGCGGGCAUCUGUAAUCCCAGCUACUAGGCAGGCUGAGGCAGGGAGAAUCACUUGAAUCCAGGAGGCGGAGUUUGCAGUGAGCUGAGAUCGUGCCACUGCACUCCAUCCUAGACAACAGAGUGAGACUCUAUCUCAAAAAACAAACAAACAAACAAAAGCCUGACAUCAUAGCUCCAUGAAAAGACUUGAAUAUGAAUAGACAUAAUAGUUUUAUUGUCGUAGCUCAAACUGCAAACAACCUAAAGGCCAUCAACAGAUGAAUGGCUACAUAAACUUUAGUCAAUCCACAUAAUGGAUGACUAUUCAGCAGGAUAAUGAAUGGAGCAUUGAUAAUUUUUUGAUAAUUGAUCAUUACAUUGAUAAUGUAACAACAUGGGUGAAUCCCAAGAUAACAAAGCCGUGUGGAAGCAUCCCCACAAAAGAGAUGAUAUGUUGCACGAUUCCAUUUAUAUAAGAUUCUGGUAAACGUACACUAACGUGCAGUGAUGGAGAGCAGCUGGGACGUGGGAGGAGCAGGCAGUCUGGGAGGAGGGAGCACAGGAGCUUUUGGGGGCAAUGGGUAGAUUCAUUCUCUGGAUUAUGGGGAUGGUGUCUCAGGUCUGCAUAUACGUCAGUGCUUAGGAAAGUGUAUGCUUUAAAUAUAUGUUAUUGCAUGUCCACCUCACCUAAGUAAAGCUGGCUUAGAAAUGUAAAAAAACAUGGGGUAGUGGUUGAAUAAAAAGCCUAUUUCAUCUUAGAAUUCUACUGUUAAAAUUUGGCUCCGGCCACUAUUAAGGUGAAAAAAAAAUCCAGCUUUAAAUUGUUAAAUUCUGUUAUUAUUUGUAUGUAAAUAAUUCAUUCUUUUGGAAGAAUGAAUUAUCUGGAUAAUUAUAGACUGCCAGCACUCAUUCCCUAUGACCAAGGCGAUGGCAUACUUCCUUAUCCAAACUAGACCACUUCUUCUUCUUCUUCUUCUUUUUUUUUUUCCUCUCUUGCCCAGGCUGGAGGGCAGUGGUGUGAUCUCGGCUCACUGCAACCUCCGCCUCCUGGGUUCGAGCGAUUCUCCUGCCUCAGACUUCUAAGUAGCUGGGAUUACAUGCACCUGGCUAAUUUUUUUAUAUUUUUAGUAGAGACGGGGUUUCACCAUGUUGUCCAGGCUGCUCUCAAACUCCUGACCUCAGAUGAUCCGCCCACCUCAGCCUCCCAAAGUGCUGGGAUUACAGGCAUGAGCCACCGCACCCAGCUAAACUAGGCCACUUCUGAGAACAAGGCAAUAGAUGACCACUGAGGCUGCCCUGGCAAACUGACCGAAGGUCAUCUCAUCUGGCCGAGGCCCCUGCUCCCAUCGGUCCCCACAGGACAUUCGGGACUCACCGUGGGCCACACCUCACUCCUGCAUCCUGGACCCCACACCUUCAUGGAACCUGCUCUCCCAUCCCCACUUCCUGGGCCUUCUAGAUUGGUGGUGGGCACUGGGCACCCUCCCCCGAUCCCCCUACCAUGAUUCCAGCAGGGAGUGUGUGUCCCGCAGGGCCUCUUCGAGUUCCUGCCAUUCCUGGUCCUCAGCAAAUCUUUGGCAGAAGAGUAAAUGAAUCGUCACAGACCUUGUUGGAUACAAAGUUGCUGUGGUCAGUGUGAAGUCUCACGUUUCAGCGAAUUUUCCUGGCAUGGGCAUUUGUGGCACAGAAGCCGGGUGGUCACCCGAGCACCCCCAAAGGCUGCAGCACACGUUCCGGUGGUGGGGGCUGUGGGGGCCUGCACGGGAGGAUCCUGGGGAAAGUGCUGGCCUUGUCUGCUCAGCUCUGAAUGUAGACACAGCAGCUUCUCCACGGGAGACUCACUGCUUCCUUCCCCAAGGUCUCACUCUCAGACUGAAUUAACACGUUGAAGGGUUCCCGUCUCAGCUUUUCCCCAAGGCAUGCCUUUCAAAGAAUGUUCCCUGAGUUGUGAAUGGCAGCAGAGCCCUUUUUAAGUAGAAGGUUAUUUUACUUCGGUAUCUACUGGUGAUUCCCAGCUUAAAACUAAACAGCUGGGGAAUCCUCCAUGAAACCUGUAGAGUUUCCAUGGCAACCUUUGUCCUAGAAAGGCAGGCCAGGGACCUGCCAUUCUGCAGCCCCACCUCGC
rnacentral:lncRNA from 1 species